AUUGAACGCUGGCGGCAGGCUUAACACAUGCAAGUCGAGCGGGGAAGGGUAGCUUGCUACCUAACCUAGCGGCGGACGGGUGAGUAAUGCUUAGGAAUCUGCCUAUUAGUGGGGGACAACAUUCCGAAAGGAAUGCUAAUACCGCAUACGCCCUACGGGGGAAAGCAGGGGAUCUUCGGACCUUGCGCUAAUAGAUGAGCCUAAGUCGGAUUAGCUAGUUGGUGGGGUAAAGGCCUACCAAGGCGACGAUCUGUAGCGGGUCUGAGAGGAUGAUCCGCCACACUGGGACUGGGACACGGCCCAGACUCCUACGGGAGGCAGCAGUGGGGAAUAUUGGACAAUGGGGGGAACCCUGAUCCAGCCAUGCCGCGUGUGUGAAGAAGGCCUUUUGGUUGUAAAGCACUUUAAGCGAGGAGGAGGCUACCGAGAUUAAUACUCUUGGAUAGUGGACGUUACUCGCAGAAUAAGCACCGGCUAACUCUGUGCCAGCAGCCGCCGUAACAC
rnacentral:rRNA from 1 species